GGCUGGCCUGAGGGUAGUGGAUUAUCAGAACUUAUUAACAUCAGUGUUACUGAAGUUGGUGGUGUACAACCCCCCCCGCCCCGCCGACCCCACUGGUAAAUUUGACUGGCUUUUU
rnacentral:sRNA from 1 species